rnacentral:lncRNA from 1 species
GGCCUUGUUUACUUCCACCCAAAAACCCAAAUUUUUUCAAGAUUCCCCAUCACAUCGAAUCUUUAAACGUAUGCAUGGAGUAUUAAAUAUACACAAAAUUAAAAACUAAUUACACAGUUUGGUCGAAAUUGACAAGACGAAUCUUUUGAGCCUAGUUAGUCUAUGAUUGAACAAUAAUUACCCUAAACAAACAAAAGUGCUACAGUGCCGCGAAAUAUUUCGCAUCCGCAACUAAACACGGCCCUGGUCAGCUCCGAUAACUUCUCUGCUGGGGGUUGCUUGUGGAAGAUUAAGGCUUUGUUUAGUUCGGAUUUUUUUUCGGUAUUGUAGUAUUUUUGUUUUUAUUUGACAAUUAUUGUCUAAUUAUGGACUAACUAGACUCAACAGAUUCAUCUCGUGAUUUAUAGAUAAACUAUGCAAUUAGUUUUUAUUCAUGCAUGUGCCGCAAAAUUCAAUACGACGAAAAAUUUAUUUUUUUUAUUUUUAGGAUGAACUAAACAAGGUCUAAUUGCAACCUCGGCGGGGGUGACAUAGACGGAGACAACGAGCAUGUAUCUCUCCUCACAUCGAUUCUUUGUACGCAUACAUGGAGCAUUAAAUAUAAAUAAAAGAAAUAACUAAUUAUACAAUUUGUCUGUAAUUUGCGAGACGAUUCUUUUGAAUCUAGUUAGUCUAUAAUUGAAUAAUAUUUAUCAAAUGUAAACGAAAGUGUUACAGUAGCCA